AACGAACGCUGGCGGCAGGCUUAACACAUGCAAGUCGAGCGGGCCCUUCGGGGUCAGCGGCAGACGGGUGAGUAACACGUGGGAACGUACCUUUUGGUUCGGAACAACUCCGGGAAACUGGAGCUAAUACCGGAUAAGCCCUUAGGGGGAAAGAUUUAUCGCCAAAAGAUCGGCCCGCGUCUGAUUAGCUAGUUGGUGGGGUAACGGCCCACCAAGGCGACGAUCAGUAGCUGGUCUGAGAGGAUGAUCAGCCACACUGGGACUGAGACACGGCCCAGACUCCUACGGGAGGCAGCAGUGGGGAAUAUUGGACAAUGGGCGCAAGCCUGAUCCAGCCAUGCCGCGUGAGUGAUGAAGGCCUUAGGGUUGUAAAGCUCUUUUGUCCGGGAAGAUAAUGACUGUACCGGAAGAAUAAGCCCCGGCUAACUUCGU
rnacentral:rRNA from 1 species